rnacentral:rRNA from 1 species
UACAGAGGUCCCGAGCGUUGUUCGGAUUCACUGGGCGUAAAGGGUGCGUAGGUGGCCUAAAAAGUUUGAUGUGAAAGCUCAGGGCUUAACCCUGAAAUGGCAUUGAAUACUGUUGGGCUGGAGGUUUGGAGGGGGGACUGGAAUUCUUGGUGUAGCAGUGAAAUGCGUAGAUAUCAAGAGGACACCAGUGGCGAAGGCGAGUCCCUGGACAACACCUGACACUGAGGCACGAAGGCCAGGGGAGCAAACGGG